GGGUUGUGAGGUUAAGCGACUAAGCGUACACGGUGGAUGCCCUGGCAGUCAGAGGCGAUGAAGGGCGUGCUAAUCUGCGAUAAGCGCCGGUAAGGUGAUAUGAACCGUUAUAACCGGCGAUACCCGAAUGGGGAAACCCAGUGUGAUUCGUCACACUAUCAUUAACUGAAUCCAUAGGUUAAUGAGGCGAACCGGGGGAACUGAAACAUCUAAGUACCCCGAGGAAAAGAAAUCAACCGAGAUUCCCCCAGUAGCGGCGAGCGAACGGGGAGGAGCCCAGAGCCUGAAUCAGCAUGUGUGUUAGUGGAAGCGUCUGGAAAGGCGCGCGAUACAGGGUGACAGCCCCGUACACAAAAGCGCAUGUGCUGUGAGCUCGAUGAGUAGGGCGGGACACGUGGUAUCCUGUCUGAAUAUGGGGGGACCAUCCUCCAAGGCUAAAUACUCCUGACUGACCGAUAGUGAACCAGUACCGUGAGGGAAAGGCGAAAAGAACCCCGGCGAGGGGAGUGAAAAAGAACCUGAAACCGUGUACGUACAAGCAGUGGGAGCNNNNNNNNNNNNNNNNNNNNNNNNNNNNCGAAACCCGGUGAUCUAGCCAUGGGCAGGUUGAAGGUUGGGUAACACUAACUGGAGGACCGAACCGACUAAUGUUGAAAAAUUAGCGGAUGACCUGUGGCUGGGGGUGAAAGGCCAAUCAAACCGGGAGAUAGCUGGUUCUCCCCGAAAGCUAUUUAGGUAGCGCCUCGUGAAUUCAUCUCCGGGGGUAGAGCACUGUUUCGGCUAGGGGGCCAUCCCGGCUUACCAACCCGAUGCAAACUGCGAAUACCGGAGAAUGUUAUCACGGGAGACACACGGCGGGUGCUAACGUCCGUCGUGAAGAGGGAAACAACCCAGACCGCCAGCUAAGGUCCCAAAGUCAUGGUUAAGUGGGAAACGAUGUGGGAAGGCCCAGACAGCCAGGAUGUUGGCUUAGAAGCAGCCAUCAUUUAAAGAAAGCGUAAUAGCUCACUGGUCGAGUCGGCCUGCGCGGAAGAUGUAACGGGGCUAAACCAUGCACCGAAGCUGCGGCAGCGACACUGUGUGUUGUUGGGUAGGGGAGCGUUCUGUAAGCCUGCGAAGGUGGCCUGUGAGGGUUGCUGGAGGUAUCAGAAGUGCGAAUGCUGACAUAAGUAACGAUAAAGCGGGUGAAAAGCCCGCUCGCCGGAAGACCAAGGGUUCCUGUCCAACGUUAAUCGGGGCAGGGUGAGUCGACCCCUAAGGCGAGGCCGAAAGGCGUAGUCGAUGGGAAACGGGUUAAUAUUCCCGUACUUGGUGUUACUGCGAAGGGGGGACGGAGAAGGCUAUGUUGGCCGGGCGACGGUUGUCCCGGUUUAAGCGUGUAGGUGUGUGUUCCAGGUAAAUCCGGUUCACUUUAACACUGAGGCGUGACGACGAGGCACUACGGUGCUGAAGCAACAAAUGCCCUGCUUCCAGGAAAAGCCUCUAAGCAUCAGGUAACAUCAAAUCGUACCCCAAACCGACACAGGUGGUCAGGUAGAGAAUACCAAGGCGCUUGAGAGAACUCGGGUGAAGGAACUAGGCAAAAUGGUGCCGUAACUUCGGGAGAAGGCACGCUGACACGUAGGUGAAGUGAUUUACUCAUGGAGCUGAAGUCAGUCGAAGAUACCAGCUGGCUGCAACUGUUUAUUAAAAACACAGCACUGUGCAAACACGAAAGUGGACGUAUACGGUGUGACGCCUGCCCGGUGCCGGAAGGUUAAUUGAUGGGGUCAGCGCAAGCGAAGCUCCUGAUCGAAGCCCCGGUAAACGGCGGCCGUAACUAUAACGGUCCUAAGGUAGCGAAAUUCCUUGUCGGGUAAGUUCCGACCUGCACGAAUGGCGUAAUGAUGGCCAGGCUGUCUCCACCCGAGACUCAGUGAAAUUGAACUCGCUGUGAAGAUGCAGUGUACCCGCGGCAAGACGGAAAGACCCCGUGAACCUUUACUAUAGCUUGACACUGAACAUUGAGCCUUGAUGUGUAGGAUAGGUGGGAGGCUUUGAAGUGUGGACGCCAGUCUGCAUGGAGCCGACCUUGAAAUACCACCCUUUAAUGUUUGAUGUUCUAACGUGGACCCGUUACCCGGGUUGCGGACAGUGUCUGGUGGGUAGUUUGACUGGGGCGGUCUCCUCCUAAAGAGUAACGGAGGAGCACGAAGGUUGGCUAAUCCUGGUCGGACAUCAGGAGGUUAGUGCAAUGGCAUAAGCCAGCUUGACUGCGAGCGUGACGGCGCGAGCAGGUGCGAAAGCAGGUCAUAGUGAUCCGGUGGUUCUGAAUGGAAGGGCCAUCGCUCAACGGAUAAAAGGUACUCCGGGGAUAACAGGCUGAUACCGCCCAAGAGUUCAUAUCGACGGCGGUGUUUGGCACCUCGAUGUCGGCUCAUCACAUCCUGGGGCUGAAGUAGGUCCCAAGGGUAUGGCUGUUCGCCAUUUAAAGUGGUACGCGAGCUGGGUUUAGAACGUCGUGAGACAGUUCGGUCCCUAUCUGCCGUGGGCGCUGGAGAACUGAGGGGGGCUGCUCCUAGUACGAGAGGACCGGAGUGGACGCAUCACUGGUGUUCGGGUUGUCAUGCCAAUGGCACUGCCCGGUAGCUAAAUGCGGAAGAGAUAAGUGCUGAAAGCAUCUAAGCACGAAACUUGCCCCGAGAUGAGUUCUCCCUGAGACUUAGAGUCUCCUGAAGGAACGUUGAAGACGACGACGUUGAUAGGCCGGGUGUGUAAGCGCAGCGAUGCGUUGAGCUAACCGGUACUAAUGAACCGUGAGGCUUAACCUUACAACGCCGAAG
rnacentral:rRNA from 1 species